rnacentral:rRNA from 2 species
UGACACUCCUAGAGAUAGGACGUUCCCCUUCGGGGGACAGAGUGACAGGUGGUGCAUGGUUGUYGUCAGCUCGUGUCGUGAGAUGUUGGGUUAAGUCCCGCAACGAGCGCAACCCUUGUUCUUAGUUGCCAGCAUUCAGUUGGGCACUYUAAGGAGACUGCCGGUGACAAACCGGAGGAAGGUGGGGAUGACGUCAAAUCAUCAUGCCCCUUAUGACCUGGGCUACACACGUGCUACAAUGGAUGGUACAAAGGGCUGCAAGACCGCGAGGUUUAGCCAAUCCCAUAAAACCAUUCUCAGUUCGGAUUGUAGGCUGCAACUYGCCUACAUGAAGCCGGAAUCGCUAGUAAUCGCGGAUCAGCAUGCCGCGGUGAAUACGUUCCCGGGCCUUGUACACACCGCCCGUCACACCACGAGAGUUUGUAACACCCGAAGUGCGG